UGGUGGCGACGUGCCCUACGCCCCAGAUUCGUCCUCCAAUUCCCAGAGUUUCUUGGAGUUCUAUCCGAAUCCGAAAUCGCCCGGAGUCAUCGAUCUUCCCGGCGACCAAAUCGGAGGAAUCUAGAAGGUAGAGAGAGAGAGAGAGAGAGAGAGGGAGGAAGGGAUAUGGCAGGUGCUGGAAUGCACCCCUACCACCAGCAAUGGGCCCCCGCCACCGCCGCCGCCCCGCCUCCCGCUCCGCCGCCCGCCUCCGCCGCCGCCCCUCCUCCCCCGCCGCACGCUCACCCCUCUCCCAUCGCUUCUCACGACGAGGUCCGGACAAUCUUUAUAACUGGACUCCCCGACGAUGUCAAAGAGAGGGAACUCCAGAAUCUGCUCAGAUGGUUGCCUGGCUACGAGGCGUCGCAAGUGAACUUCAAAGGCGAAAAGCCCAUGGGCUUUGCGCUGUUCUCGACAGCUCAGCUCGCUCUUGCUGCUAAGGACACCCUGCAGGAUAUGGUUUUUGAUGCGGAUACAAAAUCUGUCUUGCACACUGAGAUGGCCAAGAAGAAUCUGUUUGUCAAGAGAGGAAUUGUGGCAGAUUCUGGAGUUUACGAUCAAAGUAAGCGCAUGAGAACUGGUGGUGACUAUACUCAUGCUGGCUAUGCCAGCCCCUCUCCAUUUCAUCCCCCUCCAGCACCUGUUUGGGGACCACAUGGGUAUAUGGCUCCCCCUCCUCCUCCACCUUACGAUCCUUAUGCAGCUUAUCCUGUACCUGCGGUGCCAAUGCCUACUCCUGCUCCUGUUCCAGCACCUACCAACUAUGUGCCUGUACAGAACAUGAAAGACAAUCCUCCAUGCAAUACCUUGUUUAUUGGGAAUCUUGGGGAGAAUGUUAACGAGGAAGAACUCAGGGGUCUUUUCUCUGUGCAACCUGGUUUUAAGCAGAUGAAGAUCCUUAGGCAGGAAAGACAUACGGUUUGCUUUAUUGAGUUUGAAGAUGUCAAUAGCGCCACAAAUGUACAUCAUAGUUUGCAGGGUGCUGUUAUCUCCAGCUCUGGUUCUGUUGGCAUGCGAAUUCAAUACUCAAAGAACCCAUUUGGGAAAAGAAAGGAUGGCGGUCAGCUUGUUGCAGCUUCAGGUGCUAAUGGAGCUCCACAGACGAUGACUUAUCAGUAGCUUGAAGGGGAUGUACUCUGUUUCUCAUGCUCAACAAAAUCGAACUACCUCAUCAUAGGAUGCAUCUUGCAGCUGUUCCAUGCAUCCAUUCACCAUCAAGUCAUGAACAUUGGCAUCUCUCUCUACAUGUGGAUGAGACCACCUAGAUAGUUGUAUCACUAACAUGUCAUCUGGCCAUGUUAUAGUUACUGAAGUCAUGCAUUUGUUAAGCAGGACAAACUUUUGCUUGGAUUAGUUUAUAGAGGCUGACAUAUUUAUCUGUAUGUUUGUCUAGUGCAUCAGUCUGCACAAUAUUUGGUUAAUUUGCUUUAGCACCUCAGUUGCCAUUCAGUUCAUUGACAUAAGCAAUCACAAAGUCCAUCAGUAGAUGACAUGUCAUGCAGAUGUAGUGGGCUAUUGAACGCCUAAACAUAUCAUGGACACAAGGAGAUAACAAUAUUCGGACAUUGGAAAAACAUAUCAUUGCUUUAGCACCUCAGUUGCCAUUCAGUUCAUUGACAUAAGCAAUCACAAAGUCCAUCAGUAGAUGACAUGUCAUGCAGAUGUAGUGGGCUAUUGAAGGCCUAAACAUAUCAUGGACACAAGGAGAUAACGAUAUUCGGACAUUGGAAAAACAUAUCAUUGCUUUAGCAACUCAGUUGCCAUUCAAUUCAUUGACAUAAGCAAUCACAAAGUCCAUCAGUAGAUGACAUGUCAUGCAGAUGUAGUGGGCGAUUGAAGGCCUUAACAUAUCAUGGACACAAGGAGAUAACGAUAUUUGGACAUUGCAAAAACACCCUCCAUCAUCUUCAACUGUCUCAUAACAUUACUCUUGCCAUCAUAACAACAUCGGUCAUAGACAUAUAGCGAAUUCAAUAUCCUUGUGUCCCAAGUGAGGAAGUCAUUACACUGUUUUAGCAGAAUUAUUCAGAGAAUCGAGAUUACAAGUUGCUGUGACUUUGGUACAGGCUUGGUAAUUAACAAAUGAGAAAGCGCCGUACUUCUGAGGAGGUCCAAGCGCUGCAGCUGCUUUUUCUAACAGAUUAUCGAGGGUGCCAGACAAAGGAGUUUCAAAAUCAUCAAAGGGCAAAGGCUCGGUCACAGCGGCAACCACGAUUAAGUCAAAACCCCGAAGCCACCGCACAACCUAGUCAUGUCGAUACGAGAAAUUGUCCUUGAAAGCAUGUUGCUGAUGCUAGCAAGAAAAAAAAUGGGAACGGGACCAGCUACGAGGAAAAGCUCAUAGAAUCAUAGAAUCAAGUGAAGGCCAAACCUGCCGGACCAUCAGAGAUGGUAACCGUAGACUUGCAUUUAUAUAUAUAUAUAUAUUUGGCAUUUGUACACCGGAGUAGACGGUUUCUGGGUUUUCCUAUGUUGUCGAUGAUAAGUUUUGUUUUGGCUCCUUACACUAUGUCAAGGUAUUCGAGCUUUCGUAGGUGUAUGUUUUUUGGCUGAACAAAGAGGAAUUUAAUCGAUAUAAUGGCUUUAUUA